rnacentral:rRNA from 1 species
CCUACGGGAGGCUGCAGUGAGGAAUAUUGGUCAAUGGACGAGAGUCUGAACCAGCCAAGUAGCGUGAAGGAUGACUGCCCUAUGGGUUGUAAACUUCUUUUAUAAAGGAAUAAAACGAGGCACGUGUGCCUUUUUGCAUGUACUUUAUGAAUAAGGAUCGGCUAACUCCGUGCCAGCAGCCGCGGUAAUACGGAGGAUCCGAGCGUUAUCCGGAUUUAUUGGGUUUAAAGGGAGCGUAGAUGGGUUGUUAAGUCAGUUGUGAAAGUUUGCGGCUCAACCGUAAAAUUGCAAUUGAUACUGGGAGUCUUGAGUACAGUUGAGGUAGGCGGAAUUCGUGGUGUAGCGGUGAAAUGCUUAGAUAUCACGAAGAACCCCGAUUGCGAAGGCAGCUUACUAAACUGUGACUGACAUUGAUGCUCGAAAGUGUGGGUAUCAAACAGGAUUAGAUACCCUUGUAGUC